UACGUAGGGUGCGAGCGUUGUCCGGAAUUAUUGGGCGUAAAGAGCUCGUAGGCGGUGUGUCGCGUCGGCCGUGAAAACCUGGGGCUCAACUCUGGGCGUGCGGUCGAUACGGGCAUCACUUGAGUUCGGCAGGGAAGACUGGAAUUCCUGGUGUAGCGGUGAAAUGCGCAGAUAUCAGGAGGAACACCGGUGGCGAAGGCGGGUCUCUGGGCCGAUACUGACGCUGAGGAGCGAAAGCAUGGGUAGCGAACAGG
rnacentral:rRNA from 1 species